rnacentral:rRNA from 1 species
UACCGAGGGUGCAAGCGUUGUUCGGAAUUAUUGGGCGUAAAGGGCGCGUAGGCGGCUUGGCAAGUGGAAGGUGAAAUCCCUCGGCUUAACCGAGGAACUGCCCUCCAAACUGCUUGGCUUGAGACCGGGAGAGGUGAGUGGAAUUCCCAGUGUAGCGGUGAAAUGCGUAGAUAUUGGGAGGAACACCAGUGGCGAAGGCGGCUCACUGGACCGGUACUGACGCUGAUGCGCGAAAGCGUGGGGAGCAAACGGG